UUUUUAAGUUCGAAAAUUGUUACAUGUGUAAAUACACGUGUAAUGUGAACUUUGAAUUUUAUAACUUUGAUUUUUUUGGAAAUUUCUUAAAUUGUUACACGUGUAACAAAUUUAGAAACUUUGACAAAAAUACUAAAAUUCAAAUUACAUGUGUAAUUUAAAGGUGGACAAAUGUACACAUGUAUUUUUUAAUAAGGUUCUUAAAACGUUUUAGGUGGCACGUCAUCAGCAUUUCUUUCGAUUUGACUUCCCCGUAGUGUCUCGGCAACGACACUUUUUUUGUGUGCCUGUGUAUUUAAUUCCAUUAUAAUAGGUAUUAUUUUGAACCAGACAUAUAAUAUUAAAUCUGAAUGGGCUGCGUUUAAUUCGUUUAAUUAAUAAUAAUUAUUUUAUAUUUAAUUGAUUUUAAUAAUAGGUAGAAAAUAAAAGAAAUUUCAAUUUUUUUCAGAACCCUCUUUAAACUUGAGAGAUCAUUUCAAGAAAUAGAAUCAAAGAGAUUGGCGCGUAUGCUGACAGAGAAGAUAGAAAAUUUCAAAGAUCAUAUGCCAGUGAUAAUGACACUUGGCAAUCAGGGAAUUAAACAACGGCAUUGAGAUUUCGGAAAUAAUUGAAAUUCCAAUUAAAGUCGAUGCACAUUUGACACCAGGCAGAGUUUUGGACAUGAAUCUUGAUCAGUUGGUGGAGAAGUUUGAAGGCAUUUCGGAGAGUGCAAGCAAGGAGAGUACUCUAGAGAAGAAUAUUCAUAGGAUGCAUAAAGAUUUGUCCGACAUGGUGUUUACCGUGAAUCCCUAUAAAAAUAUUGGAACCUAUGUUGUUGCUGGUGUCGAUGACAUUCAAGUAUUGCUCUAUGAUCACAUCACUAAAGCCAUUACCAUAAAAAUUCGCCUUAUAUUAAACCCUUUGAGACCGAAAUUAUGUUGUGGGAGAAGAAAUUACUCUUCUUCCCGAGAUUCUUCUUUCUCUCCAAUGAUGAACUAUUGGAAAUUUUCUCCGAAACUAAAGAUCCAACUAGUGUACAGCCGCAUUUGAAAAAAUGCUUCGAGGGAAUAGCGAAAUUGACGUUUGAUGAUGAUUUGAUAGUUCAUGCGAUGAUGUCGUGAGAUUGUUGAAUUUGUUGAUUUAAUAUUAACAGCGGCUGUUCGUGGUCAAGUUCAAAAAUGGCUGGUGGGAUUGGAAGUCGACAUGAGAAAAAGUGUCAGGCACAAAGUUCAGGAAGCAAUUGAAGCUUAUCCAAAGAAAGAGAGGACAAUUUGGAUUCUUGAGUGGCCGGGACAAACGGUUCUUUGCGUCAGUCAAUUAUACUGGACUCAGCAAAUUGAGGUGUCGAUUGCUGAUAAAAAUCCUCUGCAAGCAUUUCAAAAUUAUUUUGAUCAAUGUCAAAAGGAAUUAAAUGACAUUUUAAUAAUUCGUGGAAAAUUAUCGAAGCAGAAUCGCAUUACUUUAGGUGCAACAAAUUUAUGAGAUGAUGAUUGUUAGACAUGUCAACUCUAUGGGAAUUUUGAUCCUGCGUCUCACGAAUAGAGCGAUGGCAUUUUUGCCGUGAGUUACCGAUCGUUUGCAAAUUCGAUAAAUGAUAAUAGAAAAUGGUUGGUAUUCGAUGGACCGGUUGACGCUGUUUGGAUUGAGAAUAUAAAUACCGUUUUGGACGAUAACAAAAAGCUUUGUCUUAUGUCGGACGAAAUUAUUCAACUCUCGCCUACUACGAAUUUAAUUUUCGAACCAAUGGAUCUCGAGGUUGCAUCACCGGCGACAGUCUCUCGUUGCGGCAUGAUUUACAUGGAGCCGGUUUCUCUAGGCUGGACACCACUUUUAGUUUUUUGGAUGAACAACACAUUUUCAGAAAUGUUGAGCGAUCAUGUUAGAUUUCACGUUAAGUAUAUGUUCUGUAGAUUUUGUCCGGCUCUUUUGAGUCUGAUCCGACGAUCCGGUGUUAAGGUUGUUUUAAAUUAAGUCUGAAAUUAUACCGGAAAUUUACUUUUUAAGUCCUUUAUUAUUUCGAUUAAAAUUGUUGCGAAAUAAUUUUUAAAAAGUUUACUACUUUCAGUAAUAAUUUCACAAGCUAAUUGUCAUUUUCACACAAGAAAAUCUGUUAUGUUAUAAAAAUUAAAGAGUUUAAUUAAAUUUUACUUUUAUU